rnacentral:other from 1 species
AAUCCCCUGCAGUGUUCGUCGAAGUCGUAGAUUCCUUGAACCAAUAGUCGAGAGACUUGGUUGCUGACCUGAAGGCCGCGGUGUGCAUGCCCCGUUAGGGGAAGCCUGAAGCGGUGGGAGUGCGACCACCCUGAACCCUAGGUUCAGGAUGCCCGGCGGAGACGGCACAGGCGGGGGGCCA